rnacentral:hammerhead_ribozyme from 1 species
AGCCAGUUGACGAGUCCAAAAUCGGACGAAAUGCGUAUCCUGACUGGAU